CGCGGAAUAGCGAUAUCAGCUUAUGUGGCACUCAGCUGCCCACGCGCCAAUUAUACUGCACUGCUGCACAGCUUCUGACGUCGUGCCAAGUUCAGGGAGCAGUUCAUGGAAAGCUGAGUCACAGCUAGCAGCACAAACUCCCUGUGGUCCUCCCUGAGAUGUUGUGGAACAGAUUAAAGCCCAAACAGAAGUAGGAGUCAGCACUAAGGACCCUCCAGAUGCCACACUGAACAUACUGUCCAC